GGGGAUUUAGCUCAGCGGCAUAAGCGCCUGCCUUGCAAGCAGGCAGUCUCGAUUUCGAUCCCCG
rnacentral:tRNA from 1 species